ACGCUGGCGGCAGGCUUAACACAUGCAAGUCGAACGGUAACAGGGAUUAGCUUGCUAAUCUGCUGACGAGUGGCGGACGGGUGAGUAAUGCUUGGGAAUCUGGCUUAUGGAGGGGGAUAACUACGGGAAACUGUAGCUAAUACCGCGUAAAAUCUUCGGAUUAAAGGGUGGGACUUUCGAGCCACCUGCCAUAAGAUGAGCCCAAGUGGGAUUAGGUAGUUGGUUAGGUAAAGGCUGACCAAGCCGACGAUCUCUAGCUGGUCUGAGAGGAUGACCAGCCACACUGGAACUGAGACACGGUCCAGACUCCUACGGGAGGCAGCAGUGGGGAAUAUUGCACAAUGGGGGGAACCCUGAUGCAGCCAUGCCGCGUGAAUGAAGAAGGCCUUCGGGUUGUAAAGUUCUUUCGGUGACGAGGAAGGUUGAUAGGUUAAUAGCCUAUCAAAUUGACGUUAAUCACAGAAGAAGCACCGGCUAACUCCGUGCCAGCAGCCGCGGUAAUACGGGGGGUGCGAGCGUUAAUCGGAAUAACUGGGCGUAAAGGGCACGCAGGCGGUGACUUAAGUGAGAUGUGAAAGCCCCGAGCUUAACUUGGGAAUUGCAUUUCAUACUGGGUCGCUAGAGUACUUUAGGGAGGGGUAGAAUUCCACGUGUAGCGGAGAAAUGCGUAGAUAUGUGGAGGAAUACCGAAGGCGAAGGCAGCCCCUUGGGAAUGUACUGACGCUCAUGUGCGAAAGCGUGGGGAGCAAACAGGAUUAGAUACCCUGGUAGUCCACGCUGUAAACGAUGUCGAUUUGGGGAUUGGGCUUUGAGCUUGGUGCCCGUAGCUAACGUGAUAAAUCGACCGCCUGGGGAGUACGGCCGCAAGGUUAAAACUCAAAUGAAUUGACGGGGGCCCGCACAAGCGGUGGAGCAUGUGGUU
rnacentral:rRNA from 1 species